rnacentral:misc_RNA from 1 species
GGGGGUGUUGGUAGGAGAGAGAGAGAGGGCAAUCACAUAGAAAGCACAUUAUUUCUAGUAACCAUUUUAUCUAUAUAUGUGCAUAUGCUUUUCCUUUUCCCCUUUGGUUUAACUUACAUCCAAACUUUUGAGGUUAACUCAUAUUUACAUGUCAAAACAAGGAUUUACUACUUACAAGCCCCUCCAAACUUUCAUUUCAUUCAUAACAAUUCGGUUCAAAAUCAUGUGUAGCUGAACCAACUUUGAUAAAAUGGCUAAAAUGUCCUUGGAACCUAUUGGGGAUUUUGUUACCCUAAUGGUGUGUUUUUAUUUUCUAAUAAAAAUUGUUGCGAACUUGAAUAAAUUACGUUGCCAAUUUUCUCUCCUGUCUUCACCUGUAGUUUCUCAUUUAAUGUCGUCUUUUUUGUUUUUGUUCUUUUCUUCUGAUUUGAUUUUGCAUUUUUAUUUUGUGUAAAAUGAGAAUUCUAGGUAUUACUUUGUUACUGAUAAUAUUUUGCUUUGAAAUUAUAGCUUAUAUAAUUCUAAAAUUAUCGGUUUCUACAAUUAAGUGCCAACUCCUUUUUUUUUCAACAAAAUCUUGAUGUUUUUAAAAUUAUUCAUUCAUUUCUGUCUAUUAGUUAACACCAAAUUUCAUUUGUCAAUGCAAAAAGUAACCUUUCCC